rnacentral:rRNA from 1 species
UUGUCCUUAGUUACCAGCACGUUAUGGUGGGCACUCUAAGGAGACUGCCGGUGACAAACCGGAGGAAGUGGGGAUGACGUCAAGUCAUCAUGGCCCUUACGGCCUGGGCUACACACGUGCUACAAUGGUCGGUACAAAGGGUUGCCAAGCCGCGAGGUGGAGCUAAUCCCAUAAACCGAUCGUAGUCCGGAUCGCAGUCUGCAACUCGACUGCGUGAAGUCGGAAUCGCUAGUAAUCGUGAACCAGAAUGUCACGGUGAAUACGUUCCCGGGCCUU